AUUCCUGGCAGCAAAUCUCUGCAAAUUAAAAACAAAAACAAAAAUAGAAAAAAUAUACUUUAUAUGUGUGUGUAUACAUCUAUAUAUUUAUAU